AAGACACUAGUAAAAAAGUACAUUACACCGCCUUGUCGAGACGGAAGUGUGGGUUAAACCCCCGCGUGUCUUG
rnacentral:tRNA from 1 species